rnacentral:rRNA from 1 species
AACGAACGCUGGCGGCAUGCCUAACACAUGCAAGUCGAACGAGCCCUUCGGGUCUUUUCUCGCACGGGUGCGUAACCCGUGGGAACCUGCCCUUAUGUUCGGAAUAACUCCCCGAAAGGGGUGCUAAUACCGGAUAAUGUCUUCUGACCAAAGAUUUAUCGCCUUUGGAUGGGCCCGCGUUGGAUUAGCUAGUUGUUAGGGUAAAAGCCUAUCAAGGCGACGAUCCAUAGCUGGGCUGAGAGGAUGAUCAGCCACACUGGGACUGAGACACGGCCCAGACUCCUACGGGAGGCAGCAGUGGGGAAUAUUGGAAAGUGGGGGAAAGCCUGAUCCAGUACUGACGCGUAAGUGAUGAAGGCAUUAGGGUUGUAAAGCUCUUUUACCCGGGAUGAUAAUGACAGUACCGGGAGAAUAAGCUCCGGCUAACUCCGUG